UACAGAGGGCGCGAGCGUUGUCCGGAAUUACUGGGCGUAAAGGGCGCGUAGGCGGCCUUCUAAGUCGAACGUGAAAUCCCCGGGCUCAACCCGGGAACUGCGUCCGAGACUGGAAGGCUUGAAUCCGGGAGAGGGAUGUGGAAUUCCAGGUGUAGCGGUGAAAUGCGUAGAUAUCUGGAGGAACAACCGUGGCGAAGGCGGCAUCCUGGACCGGUAUUGACGCUGAGGCGCGAAAGCCAGGGGAGCAAACGGG
rnacentral:rRNA from 1 species